GACGAACGCUGGCGGCGUGCCUAAUACAUGCAAGUCGAACGCCGUUGCGAACGGGUGAGUAACGCGUAGGUAACUGCCUCCUUUCGGGGGAUAACUCUUGGAAACGAUAGCUAAUACCGCCUCCUGUGAGAUGGCCCUGCGUUGUAUUAUCUCGUUGGUGAGGUACAGGCUCACCAAGGCGACGAUACAUAGCCGGCCUGAGAGGUUGAUCGGGCAGACGGGGACUGAGACACGGACCAGACGCCUACGGGAGGCAGCGGUAGGGAAGCUGGGGAAAUGGAAGGAAGGCUGACCGAGCAACGCGGCGUGAGUGAAGAAGGUUUUCGGAGCGUAAAGCUCUGUUGUUAGAGAAGCGGUAACUAACGAGAAAGGGACGGCUAACUACGUGCCAGCAGCCGCGGUAAUAC
rnacentral:rRNA from 1 species